AUUGAGCGCUGGCGGCAUGCCUUACACAUGCAAGUCGAACGGCAGCACGGGAGCAAUCCUGGUGGCGAGUGGCGAACGGGUGAGUAAUAUAUCGGAACGUGCCCGGUCGUGGGGAUAACGUAGCGAAAGCUACGCUAAUACCGCAUACGAUCUACGGAUGAAAGCGGGGGAUCGCAAGACCUCGCGUGAUUGGAGCGGCCGAUAUCAGAUUAGGUAGUUGGUGAGGUAAAGGCUCACCAAGCCGACGAUCUGUAGCUGGUCUGAGAGGACGACCAGCCACACUGGGACUGAGACACGGCCCAGACUCCUACGGGAGGCAGCAGUGGGGAAUUUUGGACAAUGGGCGCAAGCCUGAUCCAGCAAUGCCGCGUGCAGGAUGAAGGCC
rnacentral:rRNA from 1 species